rnacentral:rRNA from 1 species
UACGAAGGGUGCAAGCGUUACUCGGAAUUACUGGGCGUAAAGCGUGCGUAGGCGGUCUGUUAAGUCCGUUGUGAAAGCCCUGGGCUCAACCUGGGAAUUGCAGUGGAUACUGGCAGGCUAGAGUACGGUAGAGGAUGGUGGAAUUCCCGGUGUAGCGGUGAAAUGCGUAGAGAUCGGGAGGAACACCCGUGGCGAAGGCGGCCAUCUGGACCAGUACUGACGCUGAGGCACGAAAGCGUGGGGAGCAAACAGG